GAGGAUAUGCAGACAUCAUCCAAAGCUUCCUACAUUCAGAUGAGGACAGAGGUUGGGCUAGAGCUUUGUAUGCUUGUUACCUAAGUAUGGUUCUGACCAUGUAAGCAGAUCACAGAAGCACUGUUCACAAUAGCAAAGUCUUGGAACCAAUCCAAAUGCCCAUCAAUGAAAACCUGGAUAAAGAAAAUGUGGCACAUACACAGCAUGGAAUACUAUGCAUCCAUAAAAAAGGAUGAGUUCAUGUCCCUUGCAGGGACAUGGAUGAAGCUGGAAAACAUCAUUCUCAGCAAACUAACAACCUCCUUUUUGGAAAACUCAAAUUUCUGAGCAGGCUGAUCCUGGACUCAACGCGGGGAAUUGUUUGAAAGGCUAUUCACAGAUCAUCAUCAGCCAGAGGUGACUUCUGUUGCUUGCAGCUCAGAAUCCUAGAUGUUUCUGGUGGCACUGAAGAGCCUCUGCCGAAGCUCUAUACCAUUUGCCAUGUACAAAGGGAAAUGAAAUAAUAACGCCGACCAUUUGUGGAGCACAUUCUGUCUGGAGGCAAAUAAUGCCAAGAUGGGAAAGCCACAUAAUGGAAGGAUCCCAGAUUUCAGAGCUGU
rnacentral:antisense_RNA from 1 species